rnacentral:rRNA from 1 species
CUACGGGUGGCAGCAGUGGGGAAUAUUGCACAAUGGGCGCAAGCCUGAUGCAGCCAUGCCGCGUGUGUGAAGAAGGCCUUCGGGUUGUAAAGCACUUUCAGCGGGGAGGAAGGCGGUGAGGUUAAUAACCUCAUCGAUUGACGUUACCCGCAGAAGAAGCACCGGCUAACUCCGUGCCAGCAGCCGCGGUAAUACGGAGGGUGCAAGCGUUAAUCGGAAUUACUGGGCGUAAAGCGCACGCAGGCGGUCUGUCAAGUCGGAUGUGAAAUCCCCGGGCUCAACCUGGGAACUGCAUUCGAAACUGGCAGGCUAGAGUCUUGUAGAGGGGGGUAGAAUUCCAGGUGUAGCGGUGAAAUGCGUAGAGAUCUGGAGGAAUACCGCUGGCGAAGGCGGCCCCCUGGACAAAGACUGACGCUCAGGUGCGAAAGCGUGGGGAGCAAACAGGAUUAGAUACCCGUGUAGUC